CAAACGAAGUGCUUGAGAAAUUCGAAAUCGCGAUGCGUUCCUGCCGUCCGGUUUCGCGCGUUUUCGUAAAUUUUCCCCAAAAAUUUAGCCGCGAAACAUAAAUUGAAAAACAAAUCAGAUACACACCCAGGAAAUGGCGGCUAAAAAAAAGCGCCCCGCUGGGGGAAAAAUGCAGGCCAGUAACCAAAUGCGUCCGGACGGCCAGCCCCGUUGGCAGUGUUUGAAAUUCCUGCGUCCAGUCCCGUUGGCGUUUCACAACUUCUGCAGGAUACUCCGCACUUGGGGAAAAGGAUCCUUUCAAGGGAACCCCAAUCGGAUCUUUACCACCAUCGCUUUUCUCUCACCGGGAACGUAUGAAUUCAAGGGAAAAAAGCGGAAGAACGGAUAAAAAGCAAACCCGUAUUUAUGGCCUCCAAUAGCCGAUUUCUUAGGGCCCUGGAGCUCAUGGAUAGGGACCGCAACCAUCACCCAAAAUUAUUCGGCUGCCAUUCGAACCGGGCAGAAAAGCUAUUGGAACUGGAUCUAGCUAGCUGCAACCUACAGGAAUCGCCCGAUCCUAGUUCCCCAGCCGUGAGGACCCCCCACUACAGUGUGCUGUGUGCGGCCAGUCAAUUUUUUUUCACAAUUGAUCAUCCUCGUAGGAUGCUCGACAUAUUAUAAGUGUAAUGAAAUACGCAGGCGGUGAUUUGAUGAAUGUGGAUAAAAGCUGACCGGAAAAAGUUAAUUAAAAUAAUAUGCAAA